rnacentral:rRNA from 1 species
AUGGUCCGCACGAUGACCGAAGGCAUCGUGAAUAGGUUUUUGAGGUCCGCGAAGGCCGAGAUGCUUCAAAAGAACGAGACGGAGAUAAGAUGUCCGUGUCGAAGAUGCAAGCUGAAUAGCCUUAUUGCGGACCCGGAUUCCGGGCAGGUGCGGGACCACCUGCUCUUGCGUGGUUUCAUGGAUGGCUAUAGGUGGCAAGGUGAUGAAGAUGACUACGAAGUCGUCCAUGGGGACCGGGCAAGAAAUGAGGAAGGGCAGCAAGACAACCACCGCGGCUCGGGGGGCGAGAAGACGAAGAAUCCCCAGGAGAUGAUCACGACGGUGAUGUUGUACAUAGUCAUCAUGUAG